rnacentral:rRNA from 1 species
UACGUAGGAGGCAAGCGUUGUCCGGACUGACUGGGCGUAAAGCGCGCGCAGGCGGUGCGGGGCGUCGGUGCUGAAAAUCGGGCCGCUUAACGGCCCGCGGCGUGCCGAUACGCCCGUACUGGAGGGUGGGCGAGGGUGGUGGAAUUGCCGGUGUAGUGGUGAAAUGCGUAGAGAUCGGCAGGAACACCCGUGGCGCAAGCGGCCACCUAGCCCAUUCCUGACGCUGAUGCGCGACAGCGUGGGGAGCGAACUGG